GAAGGUAUAGCUCAGUGGUAGAGCGCGUGCCUAGUGUUCAUGAGGUCCUGGGUUCAAUUCCCAGUACCUCUC
rnacentral:tRNA from 1 species